rnacentral:rRNA from 1 species
GAUUAACGCUAGCGGCAGGCAUAAUACAUGCAAGUUGAACGAGAUUAGUUUUAGCAAUAGAACUAGUUUAGUGGCGCACGGGUGCGUAACGCGUAUGCAACCUACCUUAAACAGGGGAAUAGCCUCUCGAAAGAGAGAUUAAUACCGCAUAAUAUAUAUUUAAUGCAUAUUAGAUAUAUUAAACCUACGGGGGUUUAAGAUGGGCAUGCGUGACAUUAGCUAGUUGGUGAGGUAACGGCUCACCAAGGCAACGAUGUCUAGGGGGUCUGAGAGGAUGUCCCCCCACACUGGUACUGAGACACGGACCAGACUCCUACGGGAGGCAGCAGUAGGGAAUAUUGGUCAAUGGGGGCAACCCUGAACCAGCCAUGCCGCGUGCAGGAAUAAGGCCCUAAUGGGUCGUAAACUGCUUUUGAACGGGAAGAAAUCUAUUUACGUGUAAAUAGUUGACGGUACCGUUAGAAUAAGGAUCGGCUAAACUUCGUGCCAG